AGUGGCGAACGGGUGAGUAACGCGUGAGUAACCUGCCCUAGAGUGGGGGACAACAGUUGGAAACGACUGCUAAUACCGCAUAAGCCCACGGUGCCGCAUGGUACUGAGGGAAAAGGAUUUAUUCGCUUUAGGAUGGACUCGCGUCCAAUUAGCUAGUUGGUGAGGUAACGGCCCACCAAGGCGACGAUUGGUAGCCGGACUGAGAGGUUGAACGGCCACAUUGGGACUGAGACACGGCCCAGACUCC
rnacentral:rRNA from 1 species